rfam:Toxocara canis scaffold554, whole genome shotgun sequence.
CGAGCAGUAGCUUAGUGGUAGAGUUCCCGCUUCAUAUGCAGGAAGACAUGGGUUCGAUUCCGGCUGCUUAC